rnacentral:rRNA from 1 species
CACGUAGGGCGCAAGCGUUGUCCGGAAUUAUUGGGCGUAAAGAGCUCGUAGGCGGUCUGUUACGUCUGCUGUGAAAACCCGGGGCUUAACCCCUGGCUUGCAGUGGAUACGGACAGACUAGAGGUAGGUAGGGGAGAAUGGAAUUCCCGGUGUAGCGGUGAAAUGCGCAGAUAUCGGGAGGAACACCGGUGGCGAAGGCGGUUCUCUGGGCCUUACCUGACGCUGAGGAGCGAAAGCGUGGGGAGCGAACAGG